AGUGAACGCUGGCGGUAGGCCUAACACAUGCAAGUUGAACGGCAGCACAGUAAGAGCUUGCUCUUACGGGUGGCGAGUGGCGGACGGGUGAGGAAUACAUCGGAAUCUACUUUUUCGUGGGGGAUAACGUAGGGAAACUUACGCUAAUACCGCAUACGACCUACGGGUGAAAGCAGGGGAUCUUCGGACCUUGCGCGAUUGAAUGAGCCGAUGUCGGAUUAGCUAGUUGGCGGGGUAAAGGCCCACCAAGGCGACGAUCCGUAGCUGGUCUGAGAGGAUGAUCAGCCACACUGGAACUGAGACACGGUCCAGACUCCUACGGGAGGCAGCAGUGGGGAAUAUUGGACAAUGGGCGCAAGCCUGAUCCAGCCAUACCGCGUGGGUGAAGAAGGCCUUCGGGUUGUAAAGCCCUUUUGUUGGGAAAGAAAAGCAGUAGGUUAAUACCCCGCUGUUCUGACGGUACCCAAAGAAUAAGCACCGGCUAACUUCGUG
rnacentral:rRNA from 1 species